rnacentral:lncRNA from 1 species
AGGGUGGCUCGGUGAUCUUCUUUGGACAUAGUUUUGUUUCAUGGCUUGCAAUAUCACAAUUGCAUUAGUAGCUAACAUGGAGUUCAUAUACUGCUCUUCUUUUGAUAGGAGAUACCUGACAUGGACUAAUGUGAUACAUGAGUUCUACAAUAUUUGCCAACAGAUAUGUGGCACAUUAUCAUGCCAUCUGCAACAUGACAAGAAGCUAAAUUAUUGUAAGUAACAUGAUUGCCAUGGCAUUGUUCAAAAUA